CAGCCGCCGCGGUAAUACGUAGGGUGCGAGCGUUAAUCGGAAUUACUGGGCGUAAAGCGUGCGCAGGCGGUUUUGUAAGACCGAUGUGAAAUCCCCGGGCUCAACCUGGGAACUGCAUUGGUGACUGCGAAACUGGAGUGCGGCAGAGGGAGAUGGAAUUCCGCGUGUAGCAGUGAAAUGCGUAGAUAUGCGGAGGAACACCGAUGGCGAAGGCAGUCUCCUGGGCCUGCACUGACGCUCAUGCACGAAAGCGUGGGGAGCAAACAGGAUUAGAUACCCCCGUAGUCCCUGUCUCUUAUAA
rnacentral:rRNA from 1 species